rnacentral:rRNA from 1 species
AACGAACGCUGGCGGCAGGCCUAACACAUGCAAGUCGAGCGAAGCCUUCGGGCUUAGCGGCGGACGGGUGUGUAACGCGUGGGAACGUGCCCUUUGGUACGGAAUAGCCCCGGGAAACUGGGAGUAAUACCGUAUGUGGUCGAGAGACGAAAGAUUUAUCGCCAAAGGAUCGGCCCGCGUUGGAUUAGGUAGUUGGUGGGGUAAUGGCCUACCGAGCCGACGAUCCAUAGCUGGUUUGAGAGGAUGAUCAGCCACACUGGGACUGAGACACGGCCCAGACUCCUACGGGAGGCAGCAGUGGGGAAUCUUAGACAAUGGGGGAAACCCUGAUCUAGCCAUGCCGCGUGAUCGAUGAAGGCCUUAGGGUUGUAAAGAUCUUUCAGUGGGGAAGAUAAUGACGGUAUCCGGAGAAGAAGCCCCGGCUAACUUCGUGCCAGCAGCCGCAGUAACAC